rnacentral:rRNA from 1 species
AGUGGGGAAUAUUGGACAAUGGGCGCAAGCCUGAUCCAGCCAUGCCGCGUGGGUGAAGAAGGCCUUCGGGUUGUAAAGCCCUUUUGUCCGGAAAGAAAAGCACUGGAUUAAUACUUCGGUGUUCUGACGGUACCGGAAGAAUAAGCACCGGCUAACUUCGUGCCAGCAGCCGCGGUAAUACGAAGGGUGCAAGCGUUACUCGGAAUUACUGGGCGUAAAGCGUGCGUAGGUGGUUCGUUAAGUCUGAUGUGAAAGCCCUGGGCUCAACCUGGGAAUUGCAUUGGAUACUGGCGGGCUAGAGUGCGGUAGAGGAUGGCGGAAUUCCCGGUGUAGCAGUGAAAUGCGUAGAGAUCGGGAGGAACAUCUGUGGCGAAGGCGGCCAUCUGGACCAGCACUGACACUGAGGCACGAAAGCGUGGGGAGCAAA